AACGAACGCUGGCGGCGCGCCUAAUACAUGCAAGUCGAGCGAGAAGGUGUAGCAAUACACUUGUAAAGCGGCGAACGGGUGAGGAAUACAUGGGUAAUCUACCAUCGAGUGGGGAAUAACCAACCGAAAGGUUGGCUAAUACCGCGUACGCCUCCGGAUCUUCGGGUUCGGAGGGAAAGCUGCACUGUGAGUGUAGCGCUCUUUGAUGAGCUCAUGUCCUAUCAGCUUGUUGGUAGGGUAACGGCCUACCAAGGCUUUGACGGGUAGCUGGUCUGAGAGGACGAUCAGCCACACUGGCACUGCGACACGGGCCAGACUCCUACGGGAGGCAGCAGUAAGGAAUAUUGCGCAAUGGGCGAAAGCCUGACGCAGCGACGCCGCGUGGGGGAUGAAGGUCUUCGGAUUGUAAACCCCUUUCGGGAGGGAAGAUGGAACGAGCAAUCGUUCGGACGGUACCUCCAGAAGCAGCCACGGCCAACUUCGUGCCAGCAGCC
rnacentral:rRNA from 1 species